rfam:Pseudomonas syringae strain GAW0119 contig26.1, whole genome shotgun sequence.
CGGCGGGUUGUGUAUUGCUCGGGCUGUGUUAGUGUCCAGACAUGCUUCAACGAACGAAGCCUUCCAAAACCCCGCCGAACCCGGCGGGGUUUUGCUUUAUG